CUGGUGUAGGGGAACUGUUAGAGCACAGCUUGAACCGGUGAUUGAGCACCUGGUGAAGGGCUGUGGCUGUUCCAGGGAGCACAGGCAAAUUGUUUUCACCUGUGCUCCCCAGGUGGCCAGAAAGGGUGGACUCAGAGUGGGGCCUCCCUGAGCUCAUAUAAGGGCUGAGCACUGAAGGGAGAGCAACUCUUGGACCUAGGCUGCUUCUUGCUGUGCAGUCAGAGAGCCUUUCCAUCAGCGGGGUGAGUUCUGUUCUUCUUUCUGUGUAUGACUCUUGGUCUGUCUGUGAAUGCUUUACCUGGUAUUGCCAAGAACCUGUCAAGAUUGAUUUCACUUUGUUGUGAGUAGAACAACUGGCAAUCCCUGUUUUCUGUUAGGCUCUGUGAAUUUAAGUGAACUUAUGAGACGUGGCCAUGCCCUGAAAGCAAUGACUGCGAGAGAUGGAAGUCGAAUCUGGAAAUAACCUUUUCAGAAAUAUCCUUGCUAAUUGUGCCUUCAGUAACUAUACUUGCUAGUUCAGUUGCUGCUGCUGGGAGACGUUACGAGAUGUUACUAGUAGAAAACACGCUGUUUGUAAGGAGAAGACAGCCACAAAGAGUGCUGCAGUUUGGGAGUUAUUAGUGCCAUCUGAGCAGUAGACCAUCCACCUCAGAGGCAAAUGGAUUCUCUGCAGCCUCCAUUAUAUGAACCCAGAUCUGUGACGUUCACCAUAAUGCUGGGCCCAUGCAGUGCUCAGAGGAGAUGAGUUUUCUGGCUGAGAGGGCUCUAAAACAGUGGGAUUGCGCUCUGGAAGCUCCUCGUGCAUUGUUGCUGCUCGAAAGUGGCUUGAUUCAGAGGCUUGAAGAGACUCAUCUGUACACAAGUGCUCUGGCCUGAUAAUUUUGGUACAGUGUUCUUGGGGAAAAAAAAACAAACAGUAGAAGGUUGAUUUUUAGGUUGUCUGAGUCGUGAUCUCUGGGUCAGAUUACCUGUUACUUGGAAGGAGUGCAGCAGUAUAAAAGGCAAAGGAAGAAACAGUUCUGCAUAGAAGCUGGGCACCGUAUUUUUGUUUUGGCAUUGAAUUUUAUGGCUUUGGCAAUAAAGUAGCAUUUCAUUAUCA
rnacentral:lncRNA from 1 species